CCGAGUUUACAACUCCCAAACCCCUGUGAACAUACCUACUUGUUGCCUCGGCGGGAUCAGCCCCAGCUGCCCGUAAAGCUGGACCAGGCGCCCGCCAGGAGGACCCCUAAACUCUGUUUCUAUAUGUACUUCUGAGUAAACCAGAAAUAAAUCA
rnacentral:misc_RNA from 1 species